rnacentral:lncRNA from 1 species
GGAUGGGCAGCGUACCGGGAAUACAGAAGCUUCACCGGCUUUGCAACUUGUCCGAACCUCAGUCUAAAAUUGGGAUAUGACUAUAACAGAAAAGAAGUCACACGAAGUGCACACUUCCCAAAUGAUUUAGAAGACUCAGAGAGAAAAAGGGUUUCGUAAUAGUUUAUAUACAGUCCAAACAAUAUCAAAGCGGUAAAAAGCGGCAUUUAUCACAUUAGGCUCAAACAUGUAAAAAUCAAAUGUGUAUUUAGAAAUCCUGCUCUUAGGAAAUUCUGCAAUCAUGUUGUGCAUUUAGAAAUCCUGCUUUAGGAAUCCUGCAUAUAAAUCAUUAGACACCAUGAUUAGGUUCUCGUUCAUCCUCAUUCAGCUACGCUUAGUUAACUACUAAAGGAGUAUCAACAGUCUCAUCCUGCUUUAAACAAACUGGUAAUAUUCCCUACAUGUCUUUGCAUUAUUUAGAACAACAUGUUUUAAAAGAAAAACAAUCUCCACACUGUUUUAAUAACUCUGAAUAACUACUGCAUAUUACUUUAUGCUUAGGCAAGCCUUAGGUAAUAACCUAAACCAGAACUGCCAUUGUUUAACCCGCAACAUGUUAAAAUUAGUAGGCAAGCCUAAUUCAGACUUCUUUUCUAAAUCAUGUAAUAAAUAUGGUUCUGCUGUUAUCACUUAGAUACCAUGCAUAGGAUCUGAAUUCAGAUCUUAUCUGUGUAUGAGUCGUGCUGUCUACACACACAAACUCUCUCUUCUUUCUCUACUACUUGUGCUAGCUGCUAGUCUAGCCGGUUGAAAGCCAAGGCUAGAUUGUAGAACUUUACUUGCNNNNNNNNNNNNNNNNNNNNNNNNNNNNNNNNNNNNNNNNNNNNNNNNNNNNNNNNNNNNNNNNNNNNNNNNNNNNNNNNNNNNNNNNNNNNNNNNNNNNNNNNNNNNNNNNNNNNNNNNNNNNNNNCUUUGUUAACACUUCGAAGUAGUAGUUUGUGGUCUGGAGGCCAAUCAGUUCCUACUUGUUCUUUGUACUUGAUGGUCUAUGUGUUUCUCCUCUUAUCCAUGUUUACAUGUUUCAUAAUUGCCCCCAACACCUUACUUCCCUGUUUGUGACUUUUAAACUGUACUAUUCUUUGAACUUGUUCUGUGUGUACUGGCUUGUUCCAAGUUGUUGUUGCUCCUAUCCCCUUCUCCUUUCAAAACUGUUUUUCCCUAAGCAACUCUUCUGUUGUUUUUGCAAACUUAUUGCAAACAUGCUAUUUCAAACUAUUUUCAACUCAAUUCUUUUAAAUCUAUGUCAAGCAAUCUCACACAUACUCUUAGACUAUUAGGUUUUGCCCCUUUUGUGUGAUUCUUACCUUGGGACCCUUGAUCUCUCUCUGAACUUGGACACAUAAAAGUUAGCCUUUCCACACUGCACUUACUCUGUCCUGGCUAUGAAAUCUGGGUGUGAGCACUGCCCGGGAUCCCUUGAGGUCCUUAGGGAACUCUGACACACCCAGGUAUGAGAAAUACUAUGGAACAAUCUUGACACUUGAGGUGAUUUAUUACAUAACUCAGGGAGGAAGUCCUAAUCAGGUGCUGAAAGUUUGGGCCUAUUUCAGGCUCUUUAUAGUGUAACUUUUAUCUUCCUUUCCUGCUUAUGUAAUUCAUUUCAGUAUUGGUCUGUAAUAAUUUGUAAACAAGUAUUGGGGUUGGAUAGUGAAAAGGAAUGGGUAAUAUGCAUGUUGUAGUAUAAUCCAGGGUAGAAAUCAUGUUCCUAGGUUUACUUUUCUCUAUGCGCAAUAGCAGCCAUGUUUAGGUACAACAUGCCAUGCAUUAGCUAUCAUGCUAUUUAGAAUUUAUAUGUAUUGUUUUCAGCAUCUCAUCCACACAUAGAAAUCCUUUCUAUAGGGUAGAUAAUAACAAUUAAAUAAGCUACUAUUAUAUGAUUCCGCCUACGUAAACAUGUUCUGAAAUUUCAUUUAGAAAUCCUGCUCUUAGGAAAUUCUGCAAUCAUGUUGUGCAUUUAGAAAGCCUGCUCUUAGGGAAUUCUGCAAUCAUGUUGUGCAUUUAGAAUUCCCUCUUUAGGAAUCCUGCAUAUAAAUCAUUAGAUACCAUGUUUAGGUUCUCGUUCAUCCUCAUUCAGCUACGCUUAGUUAACUAUUAAAGGAGUAUCAACAGUCUCAUCCUACUUUAAACAAACUGGUAAUAAUCCCUGCAUGUCUUUGCAAUAUUUAGAACAAUAUGUUUUAGAAGAAAAACAAUCUCUACAUUGUUUUAAUAACUAUGAAUAACUGCUGCAUACUACUUUACGCCUAGGCAAGCCCUAGGUAAUAACUUAAAGCCAAAACUGCCUUUGUUUAACCCACAACAUGUUAAAAUUAGUAGGCAAGCCUGAUUCAGACUUCUUUUGUGAGUCAUGUUAUAAAUCUGGUUCUGUUGUUAUCACUUAGAUACCAUGCUUAGGAUCUGAAUUCCGACCUUAUCUGUGUGUGAGUUGUGCUGUCUAUGUGCGUUACUUGUGGAAGUAUAUCUGAGCCUUCUAUAUGUUUUUGUGUUUUCCCCCUAAAUGUAGUCUUAUAUGUUCUUGUUAGUCUCUUAAUAUUUUGCCUUUAAACCUGAGGGUCUUCCUAGAACCCCCCUCCCCCCUUAUAGGAUAGGAGUCGUAAAUUCCUCCGGUACUGAUAGGAAAGGACGGGUAACAGCAUGCAAUAGGGAUCGAGACCAACCCUCGCUUUAAUUACCUUCACGGGGAGGGAAAGAGUAGAUAUGGAUAUGAUGACCGGUGCGUUUGUCACACCUCCUUUCUACACCUCGAAAGGGAUAUAAGUGUUUUUUUCAAUUAAAGUGACAUUAUUCUAAAUGGGAUUAUUUUAAUUAAUUUUCAGAGUCGCCACUUGGAAUAAUUAUUUUGGUGUCCCAAGUCACCGUUUUUUUUAAAUCCCAAACCGAGGAAAACGACUUUAUUUAAAAGUCUGUGAAACCAAAAAAUUUAAAUAAGGAAUUCUGUUAACCCGAGAGAAUGUAUUAGGCAUUCCCGGGUUUCGUGGUUCGAGCACGGUCACUUAAACUAUUAAAAUUGGCCUAAUUAUCUGAUUUACUACAUGUUUUAAACAUAUUAUGCAUUUUAGCUUUAUAACCACUUUAAUUAAUUUAACCGCUUUUAGGAUUUAUAGAAUCAUUUCUUGAACAAGUUAUGAUUGUCGUACACUUGCCGUUUUGGGACACACCGCAAACCACGCUACAUGAAAUGCACCCACAGUUCGUGACAUAUUUAUUUUAUUAUUGUUCGAAGUUUUUAUGAUUAGGUUACAUGAAAUGCAUCCCCGAAUUCUGGAAAUUAGGCAUCGUAACUAUGUCACAGGAACCGUACCCAUAAUCACGAUGGUUUAUUAAUCGUGCCUAAAGCGAAGCUACGGAUGUUCAAAAUUAUUUAUUUCCUACAUUUGGAAUUACUGCAAAGUUCAAUAAUUAUGGAAAAAGUAACAUGGUGGAAAGUAUACUUCAUCACUUAACUUAACAGAGGUUCAACAUAAUCGAAGUUUUCUUCGUAACCAAAUUGGAGAACAGUUCUAGUUUCACGUAUCGGAACCAAAUGCAUAAAUAAAAUUAUUUAUAAAAGCGAAUACUUACAUAAUUGGCCAACAACAACAGUGUCUCGUGACGACAAAUCUAAAGGUGUAGGACAUGAUUUAUAAGAGUAUAGAUAUUUUGUAUUCAAAAUACACUUGCAAAAAUGAAUAAAUGCUAAUCGGAAGCACUAAAAGAAAUACUUAAUGUUGCACCACCAUGAAUAUCUCAAAUUUGUAAACAUAGAAAACUUUAGAAGAUAAGCAAAAGAUCUGCAAAUACCUAAAAAUUGUGACCAAACUUUCUGCUCUAAUUAGCAUUAGCAGACACGCACAUAUGCAUUAAGAGUCAGAACCUAUAUACUUAUCACCAAAAAAAGACUGAAGCUAUACGAGCUCGCAGAUUACUCCAAUUUACACAAUGCAGUCAAAUAAUAUUUAAACAGAGAUCUAACAGAUACCCAAAAUAAAGUAGUGAUUAACAUAAUCAUGAAUCGGAGCUCGAAAUUUAUUGGAUGUCUAAGGAUGACAAGAUCGAAGCUUAAAGUAGGAUUUACAAAUUCCAACGCAGCAAAUCCAAAUAGGACAAGAGUAAAGAGCUAAAACACUUGCGAUUUUAUAUUGAGCAAAGCUGAAAAUACAAAUAUGUGAAGUGACAUACCUAAUUUCUCUAUAAUUAAGUCUGAGGAAAAGAAAGCCAAAUAGAAGCUCAAUCGAUGACUCGGAAAUUAGCAGCAGCUCAGCAAAACAAUAGCAACAGAUUCAGCGACCAAAAAUACUACUUCAACUCGAAUGUCACUCAAAAUUCCAGAAAAUUGUAGUAAAGAGCAGAAGUUCGAAUAGCUUUUUUUAGAUCUUGAUUUCCAUGGUGUCUGAUUUCUCUUUUGUAGAUAAGAGAACAAGAGCUUUUUGUACUAUAAAGCUCUUAGCCAAAGAAACGAGAAUGAGAGUCCUGUUUUUGUUUCUUGUUGGUGGUUGGUUGAGGUUGGUAAAAUGGGGUUGUCCAUCUAUUUUUUAAAGGGGUCUGUUCUAGUUGCUUCUACUUGAAAAAAUCAGUUGCGCCGUUUCUUGUGUCGUGGUCUGAUCUGAUCAUUAUUCUUCCCUAGGUUUCCUAAUUUGUGUUUUUAUAUGUAGGAGGUAUGGUUUUAGUAAAGGGUAAUGGGUGUUUGGUUAGUGGGAUGGGAUUGUAAGAACUUGGGUAAUUUGGGAGUUUUGGGCUUCAAAUUAAGCUGGCCUAGACGAAAUCG